GGCCUCGUAGCUCAGGUGUUAGAGCGUGCACUGUACAAAAGCGUAGGCUGCAUUCAUACGUGGGUUCGAAUUCCACCGAGGCUA
rnacentral:tRNA from 1 species